rnacentral:rRNA from 1 species
CCUACGGGAGGCAGCAGUAAGGAAUAUUGGACAAUGCUCGCAAGAGUGAUCCAGCCAUGCCGCGUGCAGGAAGAAUGCCCUAUGGGUAGUAAACUGCUUUUGAACUAGAGAAAAUCCCAGUACGUGUACUGGGCUGAUAGUAUAGUUAGAAUAAGCAUCGGCUAACUUCGUGCCAGCAGCCGCGGUAAGACGAAGGAUGCAAGCGUUAUCCGGAUUCAUUGGGUUUAAAGGGAGCGUAGGUGGACUGAUAAGUCAGUGGUGAAAUCUCCGAGCUUAACUCGGAAAUUGCCAUUGAUACUGUUGGUCUUGAGUACAGUUGCUGUGGGCGGAAUAUGACAUGUAGUGGUGAAAUACAUAGAGAUGUCAUAGAACACCGAUUGCGAAGGCAGCUCACAAAGCUGUAACUGACACUGAGGCUCGAAAGUGCGGGGAUCAAACAGGAUUAGAUACCCUGGUAGUCCGCACCGUAAACGAUGAUUACUCGCUGCUAGGGGGCAACCUUUAGUGGCUUAGCGAAAGCGAUAAGUAAUCCCACCGNGGAGGUACGCCGGCGACGAGAACGACGAAGAAGUUAGAGGCGNGGAGGACGNGCCGACGGACGACGACGAGGGAGGAGGG